GACGAACGCUGGCGGCGCGCCUAACACAUGCAAGUCGAACGGAGCUGAGAGAAGCUUGCUUUUCUUAGCUUAGUGGCGAACGGGUGAGUAACGCGUGAGUAACCUGCCCUGGAGUGGGGGACAACAGUUGGAAACGACUGCUAAUACCGCAUAAGCCCACGAUCCGGCAUCGGAUUGAGGGAAAAGGAUUUAUUCGCUUCAGGAUGGACUCGCGUCCAAUUAGCUAGUUGGUGAGGUAACGGCCCACCAAGGCGACGAUUGGUAGCCGGACUGAGAGGUUGAACGGCCACAUUGGGACUGAGACACGGCCCAGACUCCUGCGGGAGGCAGCAGUGGGGGAUAUUGCACAAUGGGGGAAACCCUGAUGCAGCGACGCCGCGUGGAGGAAGAAGGUUUUCGGAUUGUAAACUCCUGUCGUUAGGGACGAUAAUGACGGUACCUAACAAGAAAGCACCGGCUAACUACGUG
rnacentral:rRNA from 1 species